AGAGUUUGAUCAUGGCUCAGGAUGAANNCUAGCGGCAGGCUUAAUACAUGCAAGUCGUGGGGCAGCACAGUGUAGCAAUACAUGGGUGGCGACCGGCAAACGGGUGCGGAACACGUACGCAACCUUCCUUUAACUGGAGAAUAGCCCGGGGAAACCCGGAUUAAUACUCCGUAACAUUAUGAAGUGGCAUCACUUUAUAAUUAUAGCUCCGGCGGUUGAAGAUGGGCGUGCGUCUGAUUAGGUAGUUGGCGGGGUAACGGCCCACCAAGCCUACGAUCAGUAACUGGUGUGAGAGCACGACCAGUCACACGGGCACUGAGACACGGGCCCGACUCCUACGGGAGGCAGCAGUAAGGAAUAUUGGUCAAUGGACGCAAGUCUGAACCAGCCAUGCCGCGUGGAGGAUGAAGGUCCUCUGGAUUGUAAACUUCUUUUAUUUGGGAAGAAACCACCGAUUUCUAUUGGUGUUGACGGUACCAGAUGAAUAAGCACCGGCUAACUCCGUGCCAGCAGCCGCGGUAAUACGGAGGGUGCAAGCGUUAUCCGGAUUCACUGGGUUUAAAGGGUGCGUAGGCGGAUUGGUAAGUCCGUGGUGAAAUCUCCAAGCUUAACUUGGAAACUGCCGUGGAUACUCUCAAUCUUGAAUAUAGUGGAGGUGAGCGGAAUAUGUCAUGUAGCGGUGAAAUGCUUAGAUAUGACAUAGAACACCCAUUGCGAAGGCAGCUCGCUACACUAUCAUUGACGCUGAGGCACGAAAGCGCGGGGAUCAAACAGGAUUAGAUACCCUAGUAGUCC
rnacentral:rRNA from 1 species